CACUGAUGCCCUCUUACCUAGGCUCCACAGGAACAGGUCCUGGCUCUCAGAUUGCACAGGGCUUAGCUCAUUGGCAGAGACCAGUUUCAAUGUGCCGCUCUCAAAGUUAGAUUUGCAUACAUGCAGACUGCACCGAAAUACCCCACACUGCCAGUAACAUCACCGUGUAACACCAUGCAGUGUACACACAUCACCAUGUACCACCAUGCAAUUUACAUCCAUCACCAUGUACCACACUCACCAUGUACCGCCAUGAAGUGUACACCCAUCACCAUGUACCGCC